UACGUAGGGGGCAAGCGUUAUCCGGACUUACUGGGUGUAAAGGGAGCGUAGACGGCAGCGCAAGUCUGGAGUGAAAUGCCGGGGCUCAACCCCGGAACUGCUUUGGGAACUGUGCAGCUAGAGUGCGGGAGAGGUAAGCGGAAUUCCUAGUGUAGCGGUGAAAUGCGUAGAUAUUAGGAGGAACACCAGUGGCGAAGGCGGCUUACUGGACCGUAACUGACGUUGAGGCUCGAAAGCGUGGGGAGCAAACAGG
rnacentral:rRNA from 1 species